GAUGAACGCUGGCGGCGCGCUUAACACAUGCAAGUCGAACGGAAAGGCCCAAGCUUGCUUGGGUACUCGAGUGGCGAACGGGUGAGUAACACGUGGGUGAUCUGCCCUGCACUUCGGGAUAAGCCUGGGAAACUGGGUCUAAUACCGGAUAGGACCACAUUUUGGAUGGUGUGGUGGAAAGUUUUUCGGUGUGGGAUGAGCUCGCGGCCUAUCAGCUUGUUGGUGGGGUAAUGGCCUACCAAGGCGUCGACGGGUAGCCGGCCUGAGAGGGUGUACGGCCACAUUGGGACUGAGAUACGGCCCAGACUCCUACGGGAGGCAGCAGUGGGGAAUAUUGCACAAUGGGCGCAAGCCUGAUGCAGCGACGCCGCGUGGGGGAUGACGGCCUUCGGGUUGUAAACUCCUUUCGCCAGGGACGAAGCGUUAUGUGACGGUACCUGGAGAAGAAGCACCGGCUAACUACGUG
rnacentral:rRNA from 1 species